GGGAGUAGCAUAACUUCUAGUAGUAUUAAGAAAAUCCAUAUUGAAGGGACUUAAGAUACUUCUAUGUUUUAUUUUGAUGACACUCAGGUGUCAGACUAGUUAGACUUAGACAUUGUUGUAAAUAGUUGCUAGACACAGACUAGUUCAAUACAACGACUCCUACCAUUGAAGCUGGCACAGUUUGAUAAAAGACAUGGUUAGUGAGCAUUUAAACAAUAGUUACAGAAUUUGGCUUUUUGUCUCGUUUCUCACUAUACUUUUGAUUCACCUGCAGCUAGCAUGUUAUGGGUUCAUGUGAUUCUGAUGAAUUUGUAUCUGUUCAAGUGGAUGACGGUUAAUGUACAAGGGAUAGAGAGUCAUGUCUUCAUAUUUAUGGUCGAUAAGAGUAAUGUGCAAUUGAAAUUCAAACCUUCGUUACUAAUAACCAAUAGCAAGGUUUAGGUUUUGUGAGAAGAAAAGUGAACCAAAGGCGAUAGUACUAUUAAUAGGAUACUGUGUUUCUUCCAGCCCAUGGAUAAGAAUGUUUCAGUCGUUGCAGAGAUAGCUGAACAGAUGAAGUUGGCGUAAAAUCUAUGGUCACCUAUUGGUUCAAGAUCAAGUUUGACAGUAGUCAGUUUGCAAGUUCGAUAGCAUUCAAUUUUGUAAUAGUGAUUUCUGAAAAAUAAUAAUCAUGCUGCUGGUUACUUAGUGCUCAGUGGCAUUCAGUUACGUCCAAACGAAUUUUAUUUGUAAUCUUAAGAUGGCUUUUGUUA